AUAUUAUUAAGCGGAGGAAAAGAAACUAACAAGGAUUCCCCUAGUAACGGCGAGUGAACGGGGAAGAGCCCAACACCGAAUCCCUUGGCGCAAGUCAACGGGAAAUGUGGUGUUAAGGUAGCCCUUCGUGUCAGUCUAGGCGUCUCAAGUCCACCUGAUUGUGGCUCAAGCCCAGAGAGGGUGUAAGGCCCGUAGAGACGCUCCGACUGAUUCCUGGGGUUUACCUACGAGUCGGCUUGUUUGGGAAUGCAGGCCAAAGCGGGUGGUAAACUCCAUCCAAGGCUAAAUACUGGCACGAGUCCGAUAGCGGACAAGUACCGUGAGGGAAAGUUGAAAAGAACUUUGAAGAGAGAGUUCAAUAGUACGUGAAACCGCUUAGAGGCAAACGGAUGGUGCUCAUACUGGCCUGAGGAAUUCAACUGUGACGGUGGCUGGACGAGCUGGCGUUCCGAUCUCUCUUUUGGGACGGGCGUCGGUUUGGCUAUCAGCUUCGACAUGGUGCACUUUCCUUGGUGCCUCCGCCACGACCGACGACACUGGCUACCCGCGGCUGGGGUAAGGUGACAAACUGCUUCGGCAAUUUGUGUUAUAGACCCCGGCGUCGGACAUGGUUUGGCCAGGACGUCGAGCUUGCGGCGCCCGCUCCUUGUGGGCUCGCAUGUUGGCUAGCUUGGCUGCGCCGAUGCUUGCACUGGACAACCAGUACAGGUGACGGUUGUGGUCUUGUCUCUAGUUGGCCUCUGCGAGUUUGGCGCCUAUAGUCUGUGGUGUACUUGUGGGUAGACUAUCCGACCCGUCUUGAAACACGGACCAAGGAGUCUAACAUGUGCGCGAGUCAUGGGGAUUCUACGAAACCCAAAGGCGCAGUGAAAGUAAAGGCCUGCUUCUCGUAGGCUGAGGUGGGAUCUCGUGCAUCGCGAUUGGCGAGCGCACCACCGGCCCGUCCUAUCUGUCUCUGUCAGUGGGGCGGCGCAAGAGCGUACACGUUGGGACCCGAAAGAUGGUGAACUAUGCUUGCGCAGCUCGAAGUCAGUGGAAACACUGAUGGAGGAGCGCAGCGUUUCUGACGUGCAAAUCGAUCGUCAAACGUGAGUAUAGGGGCGAAAGACUAAUCGAACCAUCUAGUAGCUGGUUCC
rnacentral:rRNA from 1 species